rnacentral:rRNA from 1 species
GGGAAUCUACCUUGUANUGGGGGACAACUCUGGGAAACUAGAGCUAAUACCGCAUAAUCUCUACGGAGGAAAGUGAGGGAUCUUCGGACCUCAUGCUACUAGAUGAGCCCAUAUCGAAUUACCUCNCUGGUGGGGUAAAGGCCUACCANGGCAACGAUCUGUANCUGGUCUGANAGGAUGAUCAGCCACNAUGGGACUGANACACGGNCCUUACUCCUACGGGAGGCAGCA